UUCCUAUGCAGAAAUCUGGAUCCAGAAGAUCAUCAAGCAAGCCAGGAUGACCACAGUGAGCAAGACGAGGACAUCAAUUCCCAGAACACCUCAAGCCAGGAUGAAGAAGACUCUACUUCAAAGGAUGAGAGCAGCAAGGAAGACGAGGACAUCACUUCCCAGGACACAAUCAGUGACCAGGAUGAUACUGGCUGAACUUCAAGAGCACAAACUCCCUCAUUGCCAGAGAUGUUAACAAGGUCCCGUG